rnacentral:rRNA from 1 species
GACGAACGCUGGCGGCGUGCUUAACACAUGCAAGUCGAACGGAAAGGCCCUGCUUUUGUGGGGUUCUCGAGUGGCGAACGGGUGAGUAACACGUGAGUAACCUGCCCUUGACUUUGGGAUAACUUCAGGAAACUGGGGCUAAUACCUGAUAGGAGCUCCUGCUGCAUGGUGGGGGUUGGAAAGUUUCGGCGGUUGGGGAUGGACUCGCGGCUUAUCAGCUUGUUGGUGGGGUAGUGGCUUACCAAGGCUUUGACGGGUAGCCGGCCUGAGAGGGUGACCGGCCACAUUGGGACUGAGAGACGGCCCAGACUCCUACGGGAGGCAGCAGUGGGGAAUAUUGCACAAUGGGCGGAAGCCUGAUGCAGCAACGCCGCGUGCGGGAUGACGGCCUUCGGGUUGUAAACCGCUUUCGCCUGUGACGAAGCGUGAGUGACGGUAAUGGGUAAAGAAGCACCGGCUAACUACGUG